AUACGUAGGGGGCGAGCGUUGUCCGGAAUGAUUGGGCGUAAAGGGCGCGUAGGCGGCCCGGUAAGUCUGGAGUGAAAGUCCUGUUUUUAAGAUGGGAAUUGCUUUGGAUACUGUCGGGCUUGAGUGCAGGAGAGGUAAGUGGAAUUCCCAGUGUAGCGGUGAAAUGCGUAGAGAUUGGGAGGAACACCAGUGGCGAAGGCGACUUACUGGACUGUAACUGACGCUGAGGCGCGAAAGUGUUGGGAGCAAACAGGAUUAGAUACCCUGGUAGUCCACACGGUAAACGAUGAAUGCUAGGUGUAGGGGGUAUCGACCCCUUCUGUGCCGCAGUCAACACAAUAAGCAUUCCGCCUGGGGAGUAGGGCCGCAAGGUUGAAACUCAAAUGAAUUGACGGGG
rnacentral:rRNA from 1 species